ACACGGUCCAGACUCCUACGGGAGGCAGCAGUGGGGAAUAUUGGACAAUGGGCGAAAGCCUGAUCCAGCCAUGCCGCGUGUGUGAAGAAGGUCUUCGGAUUGUAAAGCACUUUAAGUUGGGAGGAAGGGCAGUAAAUUAAUACUUUGCUGUUUUGACGUUACCGACAGAAUAAGCACCGGCUAACUCUGUGCCAGCAGCCGCGGUAAUACAGAGGGUGCAAGCGUUAAUCGGAAUUACUGGGCGUAAAGCGCGCGUAGGUGGUUCGUUAAGUUGGAUGUGAAAUCCCCGGGCUCAACCUGGGAACUGCAUUCAAAACUGACGAGCUAGAGUAUGGUAGANGGUGGUGGAAUUUCCUGUGUAGCGGUGAAAUGCGUAGAUAUAGGAAGGAACACCAGUGGCGAAGGCGACCACCUGGACUGAUACUGACACUGAAGUGCGAAAGCGUGGG
rnacentral:rRNA from 1 species